rnacentral:rRNA from 1 species
GUGUCAGCAGCCGCGGUAAUACGGAGGAUGCGAGCGUUAUCCGGAUUUAUUGGGUUUAAAGGGUCCGCAGGCGGGCUUGUAAGUCAGGGGUGAAAUCCGGCAGCUUAACUGUCGAACUGCCCUUGAAACUGCUAGUCUUGAGUGAGAAUGAAGUAGCUGGAAUGUGUGGUGUAGCGGUGAAAUGCAUAGAUAUCACACAGAACACCAAUAGCGUAGGCAGGUUACUAAUUCUUUACUGACGCUGAGGGACGAAAGCGUGGGGAUCAAACAGGAUUAGAUACCCUGGUAGUCCACGCCGUAAACGAUGGAUACUGUCUGUUGGGUCGCAAGAUUCAGUGGAUAAGCGAAAGUGAUAAGUAUCCCACCUGGGGAGUACGUUCGCAAGAAUGAA